rnacentral:lncRNA from 1 species
AACACGUCCUCUUUACGACUCAACCAACUCUGUUCCUGCUCCCUACCAUCUCCCUCCUUUGCCAUGGUGGGUGAAGCUUCCAUCUGCCUCCUCCGCUACAGUGGGUGGAGCUUGAAGAACAAGUAAGACUUUUAUUAAUGCCAAGGAAAUGGGCUAGGGGCUAAGCUCUGGACAAUUCUCUCAUAUUUCUCUGUUUCAUUUCUUGUUAAACUAUAAAAUAUUGUUUCACACGCACACGAUCAAAGUACAGAAGCAGCAUUCCAUUCUCAAAGAGGAGGGAUUUUUUUCCUUCUAUUUGUUGUACACCACUUAGUGCAAUUCUUGAUCAAGAUUGUCAUCUGGGAUUCUGGGUGGGUAGCGCCCUUUUGGAGAGAGAAAAAAGCUAAAGAAAAUAGGUCUUUCUUUUUUUGCCUUGGAGUUUAAGAGAAAUCUCCUCUCAGAUCUAUUAUGGGUUCUUUUUAUUGAAAUUCAUGAUCUUAUUUGUUGAAACAUUGUCGUUUCUUUAAGAUUUCUUGUCGUGUUAUUAAUUAUUCAGUAAGCGAUCCAUUUGGCAUGAGAGAUACUUCCAUGGAGAGAUACAAGUUUUUCUCAUUUGGCGUUCUUGUUUGUCAGAAAGAUUUGUUAAGCUUCAAUUUUAGUUUCUCUAUGAAUGGAUCACUCCGUACCUUGUUUUUUUAGAGAAACCUUAAGCUCAAUCUACAGUUGUGAGAGAUUGUGGUGUAAAGAACUGAAAAGGUUAUUUACGCCAUUUCAUUUAAGUCUAUUUUCGUCAAUACGAAAAUUGUGGUGUAGAUAAAAUAAUUUUUGUAGUGGUAAUAUAAUUACCCGUUCACAAAUCAGGGAUUAAUUAUUUAAUUAACAUUUAUUAAACCCACAUAUCGCCAUUUCUCUCUCCUUAUCACAAAAAUCACAACUCACCAUUUCUCCCUCCAUCACAUAAAUAACCUCGAAAAUAUUUGGCUCUGACAACAAAAACGAGAGGAAAAUUGACUCCGGCGGCCGCGUUUGUUAUGGGGCUUUGGAAGAAAAAAAAUGUACUCCAACGAUCAAUCUGCUUUGGGGGUAAAAUCUUGGGGGGUGGUGCAGCGGUGGUGGUACCGAUGGUGAUGCCGAUUGCAGUAAUGUUGGUGGUGGUGUCUAACGGAAGGGUUUGGAGGCGAUGGAAGACCAAGAGAAAGGUUUGGAGGAGGGAACUGGAAGAGCCACCAGCAGCAGCCCGUCUCGACCACCAACAGCUAAGUUAUUAUUAUUAAUUACAGGGAUUAUUUAUAAGUUAGUUUUAAUCAAAUGAAAAAAUAUGUAGAAUAUUUCAUUCUAGCAAAACAUUAACAAAGCUCAUCGGCCAAUGAGCGAGUUUUAAGGUCGACAAUCAAUGUAUGGCAAUAGGAUCCUCAUUUACAUAUUGUUCGAUCAUGUUGACCAAAAAGGGAUAAAUAUGUAUAUUCUGGGCACUCUAAAGUUAUGGUAUGUUUUAUCGAUCAAGUUUGCAUUUUCUGAUAAGUUUUAUUAGUAGUUUAUGUUAGAUCUAUUGGAAAUUGGAAUGAGACCAAUUUUCAAUUUAUUCUGAUAUAUAAUCACAUAAAGACAUAGAGAUGAAAUUUUUCCGAAUUUACGCCACAGACAAAUUAAAUUACUAAUUUGUGUAUGGAUGAGUGAACCACGGAGGAGGAGGUCAUAGAUGCCUGGCCACCGAUUACUUUUUCAAGAAAUGCAAAAUGGUGGUGACCAUUUAUAUGUUAACUGUGACCUUUGUAACUAAGUAUGUGUUAUCUAUGACCUUUGUGACUAAGUCUGUGUUAAUAGUGAUUGGAUGUGACGAAGUCUGUCCGUAUGAAUUGUGAUUGAUUGUGACCAAGUCUAUCUUCAUUAUGAAUAUUCGUGACUAGAUCUAUCUUACUUGUGACUAACCAAAUUAACAAUGGCCUGAUUACAUACAUUCGAAUUAAACUGAAUUGGUCACAGACAGUCACUUUGAAGACAAAUUGGUAUGGAAUGACAAUUUUUUUCAUCCCAUUACUCUCUUAUCCUAAAAAAGGAAAUAAAGAAAAUGAACGAGAGCUACCUUAACAGCAACCAAUUCUAUUCAUAAUUCCAAUUUUCGUGACCUAAAAUGUGUGAUUUAUAAUUAAAUUUGUAAUUGUGACCUAUAAUUUGUGUCUUCAGGAUUGAUAAAUAAAUUCUAAUCAAUUAUUUAAUUAUUUGUGAUCGAGCUUGUGUUAACUGUGAUCCAUUGUGACCAGGUCUGUUUUUACUGUGACUGUAUGUGAUCAAGUUUGUAUUAACAGUGACGUGUAAUGAGACAUCUAUUAAAAAUGAUUGUUUGUGACAAACCUGAUUACAUAAAGUUUGUGACCAUUUAUGUGUUACUUGUGACCCUUUGUGACAAAAAUCCGCGUUAUUUUGGAUUGACUGUGACCAAUAAUUUGUUGAAUGUGACAUGUUGUCUGAUUAUGACCUGUUAUCACAAUUAUUAUCAAAAAUUUUAUUUGACUAGAAACUAAUCUAAAUUAAAAACUUAGGUUACAAUCAAUCGUGAUAAUAUUUUAUGGGUGAAUUCAUGAAAUUGUGGCUAAAUUAAUUCGAUUACUGAAACUUUGAGAUUUGGAUUCAUCAAUUGUGGGAAAAUACAGGUGAAGCUGAUGAAGGUAAGAGAAUAGCUAAAAAAAUAAUUGAUUAAAAAUGUAUGUUUAUUUUAAAGAUUCUCUAACGAAUAAAUUUUAAUUUUCUCCCAAAAUUCUCCCCUUUGCCCUCUCUCUAGAGUUUCCUUUCUCUCUCUUCUCCAGAUUUUUUAACGAUUAUAAAUUUUAAUUUUUUACCCAGAAUUCUCUCUCUCUCUCUCUCUCUCUCUCUCUCUCUCAUGGCUUUACUCAUUUCUCUUCUCUGUAGGUUUGUACGCCAUCGUGAACGAUUUCAUUUCGAAUCUAUGGAGAUGACGCUUUUCAUGGAGGUUUAGAGAUAAUCGUGAAGUCUGUUAGAUGGAAUCAAUGGUGAAAAUUUAAACUGGAGUAGGAUUGAAGGGCUUGGCUGAAAAAAGACCGACGAAAGAGGAUGGGGAAGUGUUGAAAGAAGCCAAGAAGAUUAGAAGCACUGGAGGUUUGGUUGCGAAUGUAAAGGUGGAGUGUAUGUAUUAUGGUUUAAUACCUGAUUUAUGAAACUUUUUAACAAGUUUGAUAAAUAUGAAAUUGUAUUCUUAAUGUAUUGUAAUUAUGUAUUCCCCCCCC